rnacentral:rRNA from 1 species
GACGAACGCUGGCGGCGUGCCUAAUACAUGCAAGUCGAGCGGACAGAUAAGGAGCUUGCUCCUUUGAAGUUAGUGGCGGACGGGUGAGUAACACGUGGGCAACCUACCCUGUAGAUUGGGAUAACUCCGGGAAACCGGGGCUAAUACCGAAUAAUACUUUUGAACUCAUGUUCGGAAGUUGAAAGAUGGUUCUGCUAUCACUACAGGAUGGGCCUGCGGUGCAUUAGCUAGUUGGUGAGGUAACGGCUCACCAAGGCAACGAUGCAUAGCCGACCUGAGAGGGUGAUCGGCCACACUGGGACUGAGACACGGCCCAGACUCCUACGGGUGGCUG